rnacentral:rRNA from 1 species
AUACGUAGGGGACGAGCGUUGUCCGGAAUUACUGGGCGUAAAGGGCGCGUAGGCGGCGCUUCAAGUCGUCUGUCAAAUGGGAGGGCUUAACCCUUUUUCGCAGACGAAACUGGAGAGCUUGAGAAGCAGAGAGGCAAACAGAAUUCCUGGUGUAGCGGUGAAAUGCGUAGAUAUCAGGAAGAAUACCAGUGGCGAAGGCGGUUUGCUGGCUGCAUACUGACGCUGAAGCGCGAAAGCCAGGGGAGCAAACGGGAUUAGAUACCCCGGUAGUCCUGGCAGUAAACGAUGUAUGCUGGGUGUGAGACUAGCGAUAGUUUCGUGCCGAAGUUAACGCGAUAAGCAUACCGCCUGGGGAGUACGGUCGCAAGAUUGAAACUUAAAGGAAUUGACGGGG